GGAUGCACUGUAAAAAGUAGUAAGACUGCUGUAUGUGAUUUCAACUAUCCUAAUACACGGCCUUUAAAAUGAAGGACAAUUGUCAAGGCUGUAUAGUGUGUACCAACAGACCUACAUGAAUGCCAUCUUUGGCUUCUGAACCUCCCUUCAUGCCCUGUUAUCACAGAGCAUCAGUCAUUAAUAUGAGAUUAUGAAGACCUGGUGAUCCAAAGGCACAGCUCACCACUGAACGACAAAUGAGAGGAGCUGGGGCAACCCACAUGCCAAAUAAUACAAGCAUUUGCUGUCAAAUUCAAGCAGUUAGAGGCUAAGAAAAAUACUACACAAGACCCAAUGUACUCUUUCCAAUUCUCAUUUUUGUGGAAAUGAACAAUAAAAAUUAUUCUAUGUGAUUAUAACCUUUCCUUCCUCCUUCUCCCAUUUUGCCAGGAACAGACUGACCUUCCAACUAAUCAACCCCAGAAUCGUUUUUAAACACCUCAUAUGUUAAUAGUAUUCUCUCAGAAACUGUGAGGUAAAGAGGAAAAGAAAAUACUUAUAACAAAGUUCCUGCCAUGGAGAAAUAUGUCUCACUGGAAAUAAAAUGGGAAAAGUUAAGAAAUAAAAUUGGAAAGAUUUCCAAGAUGCAUCAUUGAACAAAAAAAGCAAGGUGCAAGCUAAUGUCAUAUAGUUUGCUCCUAUUUGCAUAAAAAUGUCUAUGGGACAUACAGAUGUCUAUAUAGGCAAGUUUCUGUAUGAAAAUUUUCUGAAUGAUAUACAAAAAUUUUUGCUGCCAGCCGACAUGAUGGCAUAUGUCUGCAGUCCCAGCUACUCAAGAGGCUGAGGUUGCUUGAGUCCAGGAGUUCUGGGCUCUAGUGCGCUAUCCCAAUCGGGUGUCCACACUAAGUUCAGCAACAAUAGGGUGACCUCACGGGAGCAGGGGACCACCAGGUUGCCUAAGGAGGGGUGAACCAGACCAGGUCAGAAAUGAACCAGGUUUAAAUUCCCGUGCUGAUUAAUAGUAGGCUCACACCUGUGAAUAGCCACUGCACUCCAACCUGGGCAACAUAGCAAGACCUGGUCUCAAAAAAAAAAAAAAAAUUGUUGCAGAUGUUCAUCUCUGGAGAGUGGGUCUGGUGGGUGGGUUCAGAAAGACAUUUUUAAUUCUACACCACCUUAUACUGUUUGCUUACCAUGUGCAUAUGUUUCUUUAAUUUUUUAAAAUUGUAAAUACUGCAAACAAAAAAACACCACAAAGUAAUACAUAAUUACACAGCAAGUGAAUAGGAGAGAAACCAACAUUUAUUGACGACCUCGUAGGAGCCAGGCAUAACUCCCUACGGCCUCCCAAUCACGACGGCCCCGCGGGUGUGGUUAUGAUGUUUCUGGCCCCUGGAAACCAGCCUGCAACCUCUCCUCAUGCUGUUCUGCCACCUCAGGCAAACCCACAGUUGGCUCUGGCUCUGAGCUUUUUCUAGCAUAUGGGAUGUGGCCAAAUUUGGAUUGUUUCCCAGGGAGGGUAAAUAGCGUGUUGGAGAUUGAGUUGAAACAACCAAACUCCUUUUUAGCAAGCCAAUAGGAUCAAUCCAGGGCUUGUAAAGUACUACCUAAAUCAUCUGUA
rnacentral:lncRNA from 1 species